UCUUUUCCUUUUUUUCCCUCCUCCUCUUUCAUACGUAGGGGGCUAGCGUUAUCCGGAUUUACUGGGCGUAAAGGGUGCGUAGGCGGUCUUUUAAGUCAGGAGUGAAAGGCUACGGCUCAACCGUAGUAAGCUCUUGAAACUGGAGGACUUGAGUGCAGGAGAGGAGAGUGGAAUUCCUAGUGUAGCGGUGAAAUGCGUAGAUAUUAGGAGGAACACCAGUAGCGAAGGCGGCUCUCUGGACUGUAACUGACGCUGAGGCACGAAAGCGUGGGGAGCAAACAGG
rnacentral:rRNA from 1 species